AGGACUUCCAGUACUAUGUUGAAAAGGAGUGGUGAGAGUGGGCAUCCUUGUUUUAUUACAGUUCUCAAGGGGAAUGCUUCCAGCUUUUGUUCAUUUGGUAUGAUGUUGGCUAUGGAUUUGUCAUUAUUAUUUUGAGCACUGUCUCUCAUCUGAAUGACGGCAAUCACCUCCUAACUCCACUCCUGUAUCUCCACAGUCAGUUCUCUGCCCAGCAACCGCCAUGGUGUGUAACAAAUGAAACUGAUCCCAGUACUCUGUGUUCCAUCCAUCAGUGGCUUCCUCUUGUUCAUAGAAUAAAGGAUGAAACCUGAAAUACUUCUUCAAACUUCUCCAGGAUCUACUCACAAAAAUCCUCUGGCACAGCUCUCUUCUUCUAUCAUUUGGCUGCAUUUCUACUUGCCUAUUUUUCAUACUCGGAACAAUCAUGCUUUUUGUAGAGCCAGGGCCCUCACAUGUGUUGCUCAGGUCUUUAGUCAGCAAACUCUUCUUCCUUAAUCUAGUGGUUAAAAGCCCCAGCUCUGGAGUCAAACUGACAGGGGCUGGGUGACUAAAGACAGUCUUCUGGCCAGGCAUGGUGGCUCACAUCUGUAAUCCCAGCACACAGCCUCCCAGGAGGAUCACCUGAGCCCAGGAGUUUGAGACCAGUCUGGGCAACGAAGCAAGACCUAUUUGCCAAAAAAGAAAAAGAAAAAAGGCCGGGCAUGGUGGCUCACGCCUAUAAUCUCAGCACUUUGGGAGGCCGAGGCGGGCAGAUCUUGAGGUCAAGAGAUCGAGACCAUCCUGGCCAACAUGGUGAAACCUCAUCUCUACUAAAAAUACAAACAUUAGCUGGGCUUGGUGGUGUGCAUCUAUAGUCCCAGCUACUUGGGAGGCUGAACCAGGAGAAUUGCUUGAACCCGGGAGGGAGAGGUUACCGUGAGCCAAGAUCGCGCCACUGCACUCCAGCCUGGUGACAGAACAAGACUGUCUCCAAAAAUAAAAAAAAGACAAUCUCCUUAGUAAAACUAUGUACCUUACUUUAAUCAUCUGUAAAAUGGGGAUAAGAACAGUAGCCACCUCACAUAGUGGUGAAUAUUCAAUAAAACAAAAUGUGUGAAGCACUGAAACUACUACCUGGCAGAAGAAAAACACUCAGUAAACAUUAUUGUCAAAAAUCCCUAUCAUCCUUUAGUUCUCAUCUUAAAUGUUUCUGCUUAAAGCACUCUCCAUUACUCUAACCCUCAGUUUUAAUCCAUUUUAUUUCCUAGUACUAAUCUAAAUUGGUCAUCAAAUAUUGAUUUUGAGACUUAUUGUCCAUUUCUGCCUCUCAAAUUACACUCUACAGAACAGGGACUUUGUCUGUGUUUCCUUCAGUCCUGGAAACCUGGCAGAGGAGCUGAGGAACUGAGCUUUACAGGCUGAGUUCUGUGACCCUGUGAUUAUUAUGUUGAAGCCCUCAUCCCCAGUACCUCUCAAUGUGACUUUAAUUGGAGGCAGGGGCUUUAAAGAGGAAAGUAAGUUAAAGUGAGACCAUCAAGUUAAAAUUAUGCCCUAAUUCAGUCUGUCUGGUGUAUGUAUAAGAAGAGAGGGAAUUUGGAUACACAAAGAGAAACCAGGGGUGUGCAUUCGAGAGAAAAGAUUGUGUGAAGAUAGAGCAAGAAGGUGGCUAGCUGGAUGCUCACAAGAGGGGCCUCAGGGGAAAUCAACUCUGCUGACACCUUGGUCUUUGGCUUCCAGCCUCCAGAACGGUGAGAAAAUAAAUGUCUUUUGUUUACACCACCUAAUCUGUAGCAUUUUUGUUAUAUCUACCAUAAAAACUAAUGCAGUCAGUAAAGACUGAUGAGUGAAUGGAUGAAUGUGUCA
rnacentral:lncRNA from 1 species